UGGUACAAUGCGAAGCGAAGCAGUGAUGUGAAGCAAAUCGCACUAAAGCCAGUCCCAGUUCGGAUAAGAGGCUGAAACUCGCCUCUUUGAAGUCGGAAUCGCUAGUAAUCGCAGAUCAGCAUGUUGCGGUGAAUACGUUCCCGGGUCUUGUACACACCGCCCGUCAAACCAUGAGAGUCACCAACACCCGAAGUCCGCCUUGGCGGCCUAAGGUGGGGGAGAUGAUUGGGGUUAAGUCGUAACAAGGUAUC
rnacentral:rRNA from 1 species